UACGUAGGCAGCGAGCGUUGUUCGGAGUUACUGGGCGUAAAGGGUGUGUAGGCGGUUGUUUAAGUUUGGUGUGAAAUCUCCCGGCUCAACUGGGAGGGUGCGCCGAAUACUGAAUGACUAGAGUGCGGGAGAGGAAAGUGGAAUUCCUGGUGUAGCGGUGAAAUGCGUAGAUAUCUGGAGGAACACCGGUGGCGAAGGCGGCAUCCUGGACCGGCAUUGACGCUGAGGCGCGAAAGCCAGGGGAGCAAACGGG
rnacentral:rRNA from 1 species